rnacentral:rRNA from 1 species
AUACGGAGGGGGCUAGCGUUGUUCGGAAUUACUGGGCGUAAAGCGCGCGUAGGCGGUUUGGUCAGUCGGAUGUGAAAGCCCCGGGCUUAACCUGGGAAUUGCAUUCGAUACUGCAUGACUAGAGUAUGGUAGAGGGAAGUGGAAUUUCCGGUGUAGCGGUGAAAUGCGUAGAUAUCGGAAGGAACACCAGUGGCGAAGGCGACUUCCUGGGCCAAUACUGACGCUGAGGUGCGAAAGCGUGGGGAGCAAACAGGAUUAGAAACCCCAGUAGUCC